GAACGUUGGCGGCGUGCUUAACACAUGCAAGUCGAACGAACCUUCGGGUUAGUGGCGGACGGGUGAGUAACGCGUGAGAAUCUGCCCUCAGGAGGGGGAUAACGGCUGGAAACGGCCGCUAAUACCCCAUAUGCCGAGAGGUGAAAUGAAUUUCGCCUGAGGAUGAGCUCGCGUCUGAUUAGCUAGUUGUUGGUGUAAAGGCCUACCGANGAUUCGAUCAGUAGCUGGUCUGAGAGGAUGAUCAGCCACAUCGUGAUUGAGACACGGGACNGACUCCUACGGAGUCAGCAGUGGG
rnacentral:rRNA from 1 species